rnacentral:rRNA from 1 species
CCUACGGGUGGCAGCAGUGAGGAAUAUUGGUCAAUGGACGGAAGUCUGAACCAGCCAUGCCGCGUGCAGGAAGACGGCUCUAUGAGUUGUAAACUGCUUUUGUACAAGGGUAAACCUGAAUAUGUGUAUUCAGCUGAAAGUACUGUAUGAAUAAGGAUCGGCUAACUCCGUGCCAGCAGCCGCGGUAAUACGGAGGAUCCAAGCGUUAUCCGGAUUUAUUGGGUUUAAAGGGUGCGUAGGCGGAUUGUUAAGUUAGAGGUGAAAUGUUCGGGCUUAACUCUGGAACUGCCUUUAAUACUGUUGGUCUAGAGAGUAGAUGCGGUAGGCGGAAUGUAUGGUGUAGCGGUGAAAUGCUUAGAGAUCACACAGAACACCGAUUGCGAAGGCAGCUUACCAAUCUAUAUCUGACGUUGAGGCACGAAAGCGUGGGGAGCAAACAGGAUUAGAUACCCGAGUAGUC